rnacentral:tRNA from 1 species
AGGAUUUUAGUAUAAGUUAGUACGUUUCAUUGUCUUUGUUUUGGUUUUUGGUCCUU